rnacentral:lncRNA from 1 species
CGCCAUUCCCCUGCCUCAGCCUCCGGAGUAGCUGGGACUACAGGCGCCUGCCACUGCGCCCGGCUAAUUUGACAUUGCUCUUAAAAGUAUGUUAGAACACUUCCUUAUUCUUCAUGCAUCCAUAGAGAAAAGGAAAAGUCUUCUUAACUCUCCGGAAGAAUUAAUCAGAGGAGCAUUUCUAACUUCUUUCCACCCACUCACUCACUCUCCUUCCACUGACCAUUGAAAAUGGGGGAAGAAAAAAGAAUUAUUGAUCAAAUUUGGAUCUCUGUGUGCUGUCCUCCAAUUUAAUACUUUCUGUGUUGCUGUUUUAUUUUCUUUCUUCUGGAACCUGGCAAAGUGCGUCAAGCGAUGAGGCUUCCUCUUUGAAGAUCACAGGUGAGAAGAUUAGGUGCUUUCUCAGAAGCCCAGCAACCUGAUGGGAGUGUGGAGUGAGCAAGACCCAAAUCGGAGCUUCAUCCCUGCAUGGUUCAUUUUGCUUAUUUGGCAAACUUGCCCUGCAGAAUCUACUCAAGCUUCCUCAGUUUCUCAAAUCAUUCUUGGGCAACAAAUGAACAAGAAAGAGGACGUCUUAUUAUCUGGUGUCUGGCUUGCUGAUUUAAUAACCUAGGAGACAGUGUUUGAAGAACACAAACUCUAAAGUCCUUCACUUAAAAAAAAAAAAAAACUUUCCCAAAUUGCUUACCAUUUGGAAAAAUUGCCUUACCUUCUUCAGUCAUCUCUGAUGUUGUCAUCCUCAGAGUAAGAAGUACGCAUUCAUAAGGAACCAUAACGUCCUUCAGGAAAUCCAGUACACCCUACAAUUUUACCUAAAACUUUGAUGUUGUUUUUUCUGAGCAUUUUACCUUCUAGGGAAAUGGAUCUCAUGCUGUUUAUCAGUUUCUGAAAGUUGUUAUUAAUCUCCCCUCAUCCCAAAAUUGAAGAACUUUGCUUAAAUCUUAGAAUCAGAACUUUGGCUCCAGUAAUAAAGACUUUUCAAUAUCUUUAUCUGCCAUUGAGUCUUACCUAACGAAAUAAAGCCUCCAAAGUGGGAAUUUGAAAUGUUUUAGAAUCUUUUUUUUUCCUUUUGACAUAGUGAUUGGUGGGAUGCUACAGGCAGUUAGUGGUUAGGGUCCAGAAAUGCCAGACAUCUUGCAGUGAGAGGGAUAGUCUGUACAAGGAAGAAUUCUCACAUGUUCUGACUAACACUGGAUAUUAUUACAGGUGAAAACAUUGGAAUCUUGUGAACCUCAACCUGUGUUUUACAUAUGUAUACAUGAAGCAUCCAAUGGCAUUACACCUCAGCCAGAGAAGAAGCUCUUAAGAGAUCAGGUGCCUCAUUUCACCCAUGGGCUGCUCCAGCAUUUCCAGCCUCCUCACUCCUGACACAUACAGAUUGAGAAAUUAAGGUCGCAUCAUAUAAGUGAAGUUGAACACUACUUUUCUAAUACCCUACAUCAGGUACGUUCCUAAAUAAACUGGAACUUACCUCAGAAGCCUCAGAAAAUUAGGAAAAUAAAAUGCAUUACUUUGUAUAUUAAGAAGCUCAAAAUCCCAUAUUUGAUUCACUAUAGAAUUACUUCAGAAUCUCAUAUGUUGUUUAAGCAAAACCUGUCUCAUAUUAAAACAUACCUACUGCUGUGUUGUCUAUUUGCUUUUCUCUUUUUAAAUGCCCUUUUGAGAAAUGCUGCAAAAAUUUUGUCCUGACAUGUGGGGGCCCAACUGUUUCCUGCUAUACUCAGCUUGGAGGACAUAGCCUCUAGGUUAUACUCUUUUGAAAUUGUCCUGUUGAAAUGCAUGUUUUGAUUUUGGGAUUUUCCAGAUGCUUCCUAAGUAGGUCCCAUGUGUUAAAACUUGUGGAAAUUCAGCAUGUUUCUCAAUGUGAGGCAUCUAAGUAGUUCACAAAUUUAAGGCAAUUAGUCUAUUACUGGGAUAAGACGAUUAAUUCUAUUAUAUUCCAUUGUUUACAUAUUACUUGUUUAAUCCAUUUCCUAUUCUAUGCUUUGUUUUUUCAUUUGUCUGAAUUAUUAAAAGUCACUACAUUUUAACAUUUUAAGCAAUUUAAUUUUUAUAUAUAAUUAUAUCCUUUGGCUAUUUAAACUGAAGACACAUUGUAUAUGUAAAUCAAAUUAAGAAAAAUAAAUGGAGAGUGUGUUCACUUACAACAGGAGGCUAUCGCUGUGCUAAAACUUUCUGCUGCUUUUGAGUCUUGGAAUUGUGGAAUCACAUAAUAUUUAAAAAAAUUAGAAAGAACUUUAAAUACCAUGUCCACAGACUUUCUCACUUUUCCAAUGAGAAAACUGAGACCAAGAAUGUUUAACAGACAGGUAAUGCCUGAAUUAGUCCUAGAAUCCAGAUUUCCUUAUUAUUUACAUGAAGUCCAGAAACAUACCAUAUGUAUUAAAUACAAUGGUUUCAAACAUUAAUGAAGUUUGAUUCUGAAAUGUGGGAGGGUUCAUAUAAGUCUAAAAUUUUAGUCUGCUUAAGUAUCCAAGUUUCUUGUUGUCUUAAAAUUUCUUAUUGGAGGAAGCCACUUUUCAGUCACUUUGAUAGGCAC